rnacentral:rRNA from 1 species
AGAGCGAACGCUGGCGGCAGGCCUAACACAUGCAAGUCGAGCGGCCGUAGCAAUACGGCAGCGGCAGACGGGAGAGUAACACGUGGGAACGCGCCCUUCGGUUCGGAAUAACUCAGGGAAACUUGGGCUAAUACCGGAUACGCCCUUACGGGGAAAGAUUUAUUGCCGAAGGAACGGCCCGCGUCCGAUUAGCUUGUUGGUGAGGUAACGGCUCACCAAGGCGACGAUCGGUAGCUGGUCUGAGAGGAUGACCAGCCUCACUGGGACUGAGACACGGCCCAGACUCCUACGGGAGGCAGCAGUGGGGAAUAUUGGACAAUGGGCGCAAGCCUGAUCCAGCCAUGCCGCGUGGGUGAUGAAGGCCCUAGGGUUGUAAAGCCCUUUCGGCGGGUAAGAUAAUGACGGUACCGCAGAAGAAGCCCCGGCUAACUUCGCGCCAGCAGCCGC